rnacentral:misc_RNA from 1 species
UUUCCGUAGGUGAACCUGCGGAAGGAUCAUUAUGGAGAAUAUGCCCUUCGGGGUAGAUCUCCCACCCUUUGUUUAUAUUACCUUUGUUGCUUUGGCAGGCCCGUCUUCGGACCACCGGCUUCGGCUGGUCAGUGCUUGCCAGAGGACCCAAAACUCUUAUUAUUAAUGUCGUCUGAGUACUAUAUAAUAGUUAAAACUUUCAACAACGGAUCUCUUGGUUCUG